UCGCUGCAAUCACGCUAUCAUGACAACCUUCUUAUCCCCGAUGUGUUGACGUUAGUGUGUUUUUUUUUCUUCUGGCACAUAGCGGCCACCAAAGGGGUCCUCGUUUAGUUGAGUUCUCGCCACAGAAGUGGAAGUUCGCAGACAGACAAAUGCGUCUGUGAUGGAUCAAGCAAUAUAGCAGCAACGUCUGUGCAACUAGGAACCGCCCUAAGAAAAUAAAAAGAGAGGAAUCGGCAGAGUUUGCUCUGAGCGGUAGGAGAUUGUAACUGCAAACAACUCUAAUCGUUCUCCUCACGAGUAUAUAAACCAUCUCUUGUCUUCCUUCCUUGUUUAUUGUUUAUUAAAUGUUCUAGGUUGUUUGAACCUGACAUAUUUCAUUCUAAUCAAUUGCAGGUAGGCUGUGGUCUGAUAAUGAUUAUGCCAAUACCCAUAAAAUGUGUGGUCAUUUACUGAAUUUAUAGAAAAGACGCAAAGUUACAUGAAUUGUGAAACCAAUGCUAUGUGUGAUAGACUAGACUGCAAACUAUACAACAAAUAUGGAAAGCAGAGAUUGAACUACAGACGUGCUAAUAUACCCACUGGGCAGAUUCAGUCAUUUUGCACAUUGUUGAGCUUGACAGGAACCUUAUUUUUGUUUCACAGGAUGGAUUAAAAAUUUUUAAAAUUCCCUCAAGAGCAAAGAAGGUUAGAUGAUAAUGCCAUUGCCAACUUUAUUUAAGAGAAGAUUGAUUGCUACGCUGUCCGUGCAAUGACAGAUCAGCAGCUGACGGAAUAUGUUCCCAAAAUUGGAGACCGAAUUGCAAUACGUCAGUACUGCAGAAGAGAAGUUGCUGUGUUUGAAGGAACCAACACAACCAUAUCCAAAGCAACUGAAUCUUUGAUUUCAAAACUUAAACAAAAGCGGGGAUCCAACAAUGGCCUUACAGAUGAGCGUGUGAAAAAACUUUCUGGCAAUUCUAAUGCCUCAAAAGAACAACGCAAUUAUCAACGCAUCUUAACAGAGAACAAAAUUGGUGAUGAAGAAGUUAUCAUUGUUGACACGGAUGCUGUCUUCAGACAUACCUUUGGUGAUUAUGCCACUUAUGAUGUUGAUGACCCCCUCGACGAUUCUUCAGUAAAUGCACCCAUGGAGGCACAAUGAAGAUAGCGAUGACACAACUUUUUUCUGUAAAUGCCUGAUUCCUGAAGCUGUACUCUUGGUGUGAUGGACACACGACAUCUACUGGCCAGUGAGGAUACUGUGUCAACUGAUCAGGAAAACCGAUAUUUAAUGAGUCCUCUAUAGUGCCAGAAGUAAUAUAUUAGUUUAUAUGUGCCAAUAGUUGACAUUGGAAGGCUUAAAAUGGCAUGUUAUGGGCCCUUUAAAAACUUUGUUUUAGUGUGCACAUAGUCAAUUGAUGGAUACAGAACUAUCAAAACCAACAAUGAGAGAGCAUGAAUUGAAAGUGACAGCCACAUGGGUUGUUGAGUGUGGAGUGGUUGGUGUAUGUGGUGUGGAACUAAUCUUUUUUUUCUUUUCUUUUUUUUGUCCAAAGAUGCAGAUCUUUUAGUGGCUCAGAAGAUCUAUGUGCGAUUCUUCGAGCCAUAUAAUCCAUUUACAAGGAGACCAAUGUCACAUACGUGUGGCUGUGUUCUGGAGUUGCCCAACAACUAUGGGUCCUACCCUGAGUUGGCAGAGGAGUUUGAUAGUAUACUUAAUGCAAACAUGUGGGUGAUGGACAUCAUUUAGUUUUCAUUGUAACACAACAUCUUUGUUCCCCUAUCUAUCUGAAGGAUAGCAAGUUAAGCCAGCUGUUCUUUUAGCUGUAUUUCAAUAGUUAAAAACCUUUGAUAAACCCAGAUACUGUUGCAUUUGAUGGACAGUUUGGUAGCUGCCUUGUCCAGAAUGUGUUUUUGGGUCUUUUAUAAUGUAUUGUGGUAUGAUCAGAUGAUUAUUUUUGUCUGAUUAUGCACUUUUAUGUGGUACAUUGUUAUAUACACUUGCGCUGAAAGUUGGGUCAAACACCUCUAUUCAUACCAGCCAGAGUGACUACUUGUUUACACUGAGUUGACAUUGUUUACAUUACAUUUGCACAUUGUUUUUGGCAAAAGAAGCACUUUUGGUGUGGUUACACACAACUUUAACUGGUAUUGUCAUGCAAGUUUUAAGUAGUUUUUUUUUCUCCCUUUAUAAAACCACUCUUCUGCUCUUACUGCAAGUUUUUAUGCAAUGUACGAUGCAUAUUUUCAUAAAGCAGGUUUCAGGGUAAUACUGUUUGUUGCACUACCAUGGUGCCUUGUUGUACACUGAUUGUAUAAAAAUAAAGUCCGCAA